GACUGGCUGAGCUUCAACAUACUCAUCAACUCUUGUUCAGAGAACAAUUGAACUCUUCAGUUUGACCCUGUGAAUGACGUCUGUCUCCUUCCUUGUGUCAAGGGGAUCAUUACUUUAACUGGCUGCAAGAGCAAGUCUUCCCAAGUGAGCAAGAAUCUGAGAAGAAUGAACUGAAAUCCACCAGGGGUCUCUGACUUAACUGAGCCAGAAACACUGCUGUAAAGGAUCAGUACCCUAAUC